rnacentral:rRNA from 1 species
CGCCCUAGUGAAUAAGAUCUAUGGGUCGGACCUGCCCGGUGGCGGUGGUAUACCCCCCUAAACGGCCGCGGUACUCUGACCGUGUUAAGGUAGCAUAAUCGCUUGGCCACUAAUUAUGGUCUGGUAUGAACGGUUUGACGACAGGGGAGCUGUCUCCUGCCUUUGACUCUGAACAUUGGAUUCCACGUGCAGAUACGUGGAUAGGUUAGUGGGACGAGGAGACCCUGUUGAGCUUUAGUCUUAGGGCAUCAUGUGGGAUGAUGUGUUGGACUUGGGUUGGGGAAACUACGUGCCUAAUUAGACGUGCGAAGUACCGUUGGGACUAUCCUCUGGAUGAUUCGAAUCUAGCGAUUGGCCUCUGACCCUUAAGGUUUUGAGCAUCGGAAAUAGUUACCUCAGGGAUAACAGCGUCAUCUGGCCGGUGAGUCCUUAUUAAUGGCUGGGUUUGCGACCUCGAUGUUGAAUCAAGUUAACCGGGAGGGCAGCCGCUUCCUAUGGUUGGUCUGUUCACCAUUAAAAUCUU